GAUGAACGCUGGCGGCGUGCUUAACACAUGCAAGUCGAACGGAAAGGCCCCUUUCUUGGUCCUCGAGCGUCGGACGGGUGCGUAACACGAGCGUAACCUGCCCUUGCCUUCAGGAUAAGUUUAGCUAAGGGGGGCCGAUACCGGAUCGGAAUCCUUUCUGCAUGGUGGGGGUUGAAAAGUUUCGGCGGUUUUGGCUGUACUCGCGGGUUGUAAGCUCGUUGGUUUGGUAGUGGCUUACGAAGGCGUCGACGGAUAGCCAACCUGAGUGGGCGACCGGCGACAGUGGAGCUGAGACACGGUACAGACUCCUACGGGAGGCCGCAGUAGGGACUGUUCCGCAAUGGGGGGAAGCCUGACGGAGCAGCGCAGCGUGGGUGAUGAAGGUCUUCGGGCCGGAAGACUGUGUUAUGGGUGAAGAACGAAUGUGGCAGGAACGAUGCAUGUCGUGACGGUACCUGAACAGGAAGCAACGGCUAACUACGUG
rnacentral:rRNA from 1 species